rnacentral:rRNA from 1 species
CAAUAGCGUAUAUUAAUGUUGUUGCAGUUAAAAAGCUCGUAGUUGGAUUUCGGUUAAGAGCGACCGGUCCGCCGUUUGGUGUGCACUGGUUGGUUUUAACUUCCUGUAGAGGACGUGCUCUGGGUUUAACGACCUGGACUCGGAGUCUACGUGGUUACUUUGAAAAAAUUAGAGUGUUCAAAGCGGGCUUACGCUUGAAUAUUUCAGCAUGGAAUAACACUAUAGGACUCCUGUCCUAUUUCGUUGGUCUCGGGACGGGAGUAAUGAUUAAGAGGAACAGUUGGGGGCAUUCGUAUUUCAUUGUCAGAGGUGAAAUUCUUGGACCAACUCAAGUCGAACUGAAGCGAAAGCUCUUUCCACGGAUGUUCUUAUUA